AGUCAAUAGAUACCCCGGUAGUCCCAGCUGUAAACGAUGCGCGUUAGGUGUAUCGGUGACCACGAGUCACCGAGGUGCCGAAAGGGAAACCGUGAAACGUGCCGCCUGGGAAGUACGGUCGCAAGGCUGAAACUUAAAGGAAUUGGCGGGGGAGCACCACAACAGGUGGAGCCUGCGGUUUAAAUCGGACUCAACGCCGGGAAGCUCACCGGAUAAGACAGCUGAAUGAUAGCCGGGUUGAAGACUCUGCUUGACUAGCUGAGAGGAGGUGCAUGGCCGUCGUCAGUUCGUACUGUGAAGCAUCCUGUUAAGUCAGGCAACGAGCGAGACCCACGCCAACAGUUGCCAGCAUGUCCUCCGGGAUGGUGGGGACACUGUUGGGACCGCCUCUGCUAAGGAGGAGGAAGGAAUGGGCAACGGUAGGUCAGCAUGCCCCGAAUUAUCCGGGCUACACGCGGGCUACAAUGGUCAGGACAAUGGGUAUCAACACCGAAAGGUGAAGGCAAUCUCCUAAACCUGUCCUUAGUUCGGAUUGUGGG
rnacentral:rRNA from 1 species